CCGGCAAGCCAAGCAGCAGCAAAGAUAGCAAACACUCUUUAAUUCCAGGAUGUGAUUUGCAUGGCAUAUUUACAUCAGGGGAUCGGACGUGCACACGGAAGCUAGGCCGGCGGCGCUCACGGCCUCCUACGCGGGCGCGUCAUCAUGGCCAUAAAAUCGUCCAUGUCCACGAAUCCAUCGCCGUUCCUGUCGACCUCCCUCACCAUCUCCCGGCAGUCGUCCAGGCCGCAGCUCUGCCCGAGCUUGCGCAGGACGGCCAUGACCUCCUCCGCGCUGAUCCUGCCGUCCCCGUCCCUGUCGAACACGAAGAACGCCCGCCGGAUGUCCCCCAGCUGCACGCCGUUCCUGUGCACCUCCAUGAACUCCUCCAGGUCCAUGUACCCGUCCUUGUUGUGGUCCGCGACGCACAGCAUCCGCCGGGCCUCGGCGGCGGCGUCCGCCUUCCCGAACCGCUCCAGGAGCAGCUGGAGGUCUCUCUUGUUGACGCCACGGGGCUGGCCAGCUAUCAUGCCGAAAACCUUCCUCAUCUCCUCCUCGUCGGGCCUGUAGGUGCUCAGGUCGGAGAACUGGCGGUCCCUGGCCGACAGCGCCCGCCCAAUUCGCCGGCGCCCGGCUUUGGACCGGAGCUUCGCAAGGUUGUACUUGAAGGAGAGAAUGUUCAGAUGGGACAUUGUUUUGCGAUGAGAUGAGUAAUUGAUCUGCUCUGCGCCUAGGGCUAGCUAGAGGCGAUGGAUGCCCUUCGUCUUAAGCGCUUACAUGUCGCCUGCCAUCAGCAAAGUUUGCGAGAAUACAUAUGCCUCAGAGCUGCACAAAGUUUCAGAAUGUGGAAUUCCUCCGGAGCUUGCAGUGUAGGCAAUCUUAAA
rnacentral:misc_RNA from 1 species